UACGGGGGGGGCAAGCGUUGUUCGGAAUUACUGGGCGUAAAGGGCGUGUAGGCGGCCAACUAAGUCCGACGUGAAAUCCCUAGGCUUAACCUAGGAACUGCGUCGGAUACUGGAUGGCUUGAAUCCGGGAGAGGGAUGCGGAAUUCCAGGUGUAGCGGUGAAAUGCGUAGAUAUCUGGAGGAAUACCGGUGGCGAAGGCGGCAUCCUGGACCAUUACUGACGCUGAGGCGCGAAAGCUAGGGGAGCAAACGGGG
rnacentral:rRNA from 1 species